rnacentral:tRNA from 1 species
GGAGAGAUGGCUGAGUGGACUAAAGCGGCGGAUUGCUAAUCCGUUGUACGAGUUAAUCGUAAAUUUGUAUAUUUUUUCUA